rnacentral:rRNA from 1 species
AUACGGAGGGGGCUAGCGUUGUUCGGAAUUACUGGGCGUCAAGCGCGCGUAGGCGGAUUGAUCAGUCAGGGGUGAAAUCCCGAGGCUUAACCUCGGAACUGCCUCUGAUACUGUCAAUCUUGAGUUCGAGAGAGGUGAGUGGAAUUCCUAGUGUAGAGGUGAAAUUCGUAGAUAUUAGGAAGAACACCAGUGGCGAAGGCGGCUCACUGGCUCGAUACUGACGCUGAGGUGCGAAAGCGUGGGGAGCAAACAGGAUUAGAUACCCUAGUAGUCC